GAAAUGCGAUAAGUAGUGGGAAUUGCAGAAUUCAGUGAAUCAUCGAAUCUUUGAACGCACAUUGCGCCCUUUGGUAUUCCAAAGGGCAUGCCUGUUCGAGCGUCAUUUGUACCCUCAAGCUUUGCUUGGUGUUGGGCGUCUUGUCUCUAGCUUUGCUGGAGACUCGCCUUAAAGUAAUUGGCAGCCGGCCUACUGGUUUCGGAGCGCAGCACAAGUAGCAAUCUCCAUCAGAAAAGGUCUAGCAUCCAUUAACCCUUUUUUUCAAGUUUUGACCUCGGAUCAGGCAGGGAUCACCGCUGAACUUAA
rnacentral:misc_RNA from 1 species